UACGUAGGGGGCGAGCGUUGUCCGGAUUUAUUGGGCGUAAAGAGCGUGUAGGCGGCCAGGUAGGUCUGCUGUGAAAACUCGAGGCUCAACCUCGAGACGUCGGUUGAAACCAUCUGGCUAGAGUCCGGAAGAGGAGAGUGGAAUUCCUGGUGUAGCGGUGAAAUGCGCAGAUAUCAGGAAGAACACCCGUAGCGAAAGCGGCUGUCUGGGGCGGUACUGACGCUGAGACGCGAAAGCGUGGGGAGCGAACAGG
rnacentral:rRNA from 1 species